rnacentral:lncRNA from 1 species
CCUGGCAAAGGAUCCCUUGCUUGUUCCCAUGGCCCCACUGCAGGAUCCCUUCCUCAUGGGCUGCUCGCUCAACCCACACCCCCUGAGGCCCAUGCCCAGCCUGCCUUCAUGCAUUGCAAUAGUAACCUUCCUACCAAGAAAAGCCUCAUUGCAUCCUGAAUCCUGACCUGCAAGAAAGGAGGAAGCUUGUGCCCUUGCGCGUGCCGGUCACCGCUUCCCAAUGGGUCCUUUGCCGGGCUCCUAACCUGCUGUGCCACUGCAGGCUCAGCCUGGCUGUGCCUUCCAUUCAGUAAGAUCAGCCACACCAGUCCCCAGAAAGCUGCUCGGCCUCCAAGCCCUGCAUGGAAUGCCCCCCACUACAUCCUUGCAGGUGUCAGCCUGAACCAUGUCAGGGCCCUGGACAGACUCACUGAGGACAGGCACCGACCCCCCAACCCGCAGGCCUGCCCACAGCCCCCUCAUGCUCCCAUACGGGGGCUUGAUGACGGGCAGGGCCAAGCGGUUUGCCC